rnacentral:rRNA from 1 species
UACGAAGGGGGCUAGCGUUGCUCGGAAUCACUGGGCGUAAAGGGUGCGUAGGCGGGUCUUUAAGUCAGGGGUGAAAUCCUGGAGCUCAACUCCAGAACUGCCUUUGAUACUGAGGAUCUUGAGUUCGGGAGAGGUGAGUGGAACUGCGAGUGUAGAGGUGAAAUUCGUAGAUAUUCGCAAGAACACCAGUGGCGAAGGCGGCUCACUGGCCCGAUACUGACGCUGAGGAACGAAAGCGUGGGGAGCGAACAGG